rnacentral:rRNA from 1 species
UUUGCCAAGAAUGUUCCCGUUAAUCAAGAACGAAAGUUAGAGGUUCGAAGGCGAUCAGAUACCGCCCUAGUUCUAACCAUAAACGAUGCCAGCCAGCGAUCCGCCGAAGUUCCUCCGAUGACUCGGCGGGCAGCUUCCGGGAAACCAAAGCUUUUGGGUUCCGGGGGAAGUAUGGUUGCAAAGCUGAAACUUAAAGGAAUUGACGGAAGGGCACCACCAGGAGUGGAGCCUGCGGCUUAAUUUGACUCAACACGGGAAACCUCACCAGGCCCGGACACCGGAAGGAUUGACAGAUUGAGAGCUCUUUCUUGAUUCGGUGGGUGGUGGUGCAUGGCCGUUCUUAGUUGGUGGAGCGAUUUGUCUGGUUAAUUCCGGUAACGAACGAGACUCUAGCCUGCUAAAUAGACGAUUUCCGGUAUCCACAAUAGUGCUACCGGCGAAAUCAAUAUCUUCUUAGAGGGACAGGCGGCUUUCAGCCGCACGAAACUGAGCAAUAACAGGUCUGUGAUGCCCUUAGAUGUCCUGGGCCGCACGCGCGCUACACUGAAGGAAUCAGCGUGUAUACCCUGGCCGAAAGGCUCGGGCAACCCGUUGAACCUCCUUCGUGCUAGGGAUUGGGGCUUGCAAUUGUUCCCCAUGAACGAGGAAUUCCCAGUAAGCGCGAGUCAUAAGCUCGCGUUGAUUACGUCCCUGCCCUUUGUACACACCGCCCGUCGCUACUACCGAUUGAAUGAUUUAGUGAGGUCUUCGGACUGGUGCGCGGCGGCCGCAUCCGCGGCCGCCGAUGCCACCGGGAAGAUGACC